UGGGGAAUAUUGGACAAUGGGGGAAACCCUGAUCCAGCGAUGCCGCGUGAGUGAUGAAGGCCUUCGGGUUGUAAAACUCUUUCACUGAUGAAGAUGAUGACGGUAGUCAGAGAAGAAGCUCCGGCUAACUUCGUGCCAGCAGCCGCGGUAAUACGAAGGGAGCUAGCGUUGUUCGGAAUUACUGGGCGUAAAGAGUACGUAGGCUGUUAUGUAAGUUAGGUGUGAAAUUCUUGGUCUUAAGCUAAGGACUGCACUUAAUACUGCAUGACUUGAGUAUGGGAGAGGACAGAGGAAUUCCUAGUGUAGAGGUGAAAUUCGUAGAUAUUAGGAGGAACAUCGAUGGCGAAGGCAUCUGUCUGGAACAUAACUGACGCUUAGGUACGAA
rnacentral:rRNA from 1 species